rnacentral:rRNA from 1 species
GACGAACGCUGGCGGCGUGCUUAACACAUGCAAGUCGAACGGAAAGGCCCUGCUUUUGUGGGGUGCUCGAGUGGCGAACGGGUGAGUAACACGUGAGUAACCUGCCCUUGACUUUGGGAUAACUUCAGGAAACUGGGGCUAAUACCGGAUAGGAGCUCCUGCUGCAUGGUGGGGGUUGGAAAGUUUCGGCGGUUGGGGAUGGACUCGCGGCUUAUCAGCUUGUUGGUGGGGUAGUGGCUUAUCAAGGCUUUGACGGGUAGCCGGCCUGAGAGGGUGACCGGCCACAUUGGGACUGAGAUACGGCCCAGACUCCUACGGGAGGCAGCAGUGGGGAAUAUUGCACAAUGGGCGGAAGCCUGAUGCAGCAACGCCGCGUGCGGGAUGACGGCCUUCGGGUUGUAAACCGCUUUCGCCUGUGACGAAGCGUGAGUGACGGUAAUGGGUAAAGAAGCACCGGCUAACUACGUG